rnacentral:rRNA from 1 species
AUACGGAGGGUGCAAGCGUUAAUCGGAUUUAUUGGGCGUAAAGGGGGCGCAGGCGGGAAGAUAAGUCAGAUGUGAAAGCCCAGGGCUCAACCUUGGAACAGCAUUUGAAACUAUUUUUCUUGAGGAUAGGCGGAGAAAACGGAAUUCCACAAGUAGCGGUGAAAUGCGUAGAUAUGUGGAAGAACACCCGUGGCGAAAGCGGUUUUCUAGCUUAUACCUGACGCUGAGGCCCGAAAGCUGGGGGAGC